rnacentral:tRNA from 1 species
GCGAAAGUAGCUCAGUUGGUAGAGCGGUACCUUGCCAAGGUACAGGUCGCGGGUUCGAAUCCCGUCUUUCGCU